GAAUGCCCCAGGCCCUCCGAAGUCGGUGGUUUCCUUGCCAGCGUUUCAUGACCCUCCUAUGUAGGUAACAUCGUCAGUGCUAGAAGGGAGGAAGGUUUCAAAGAGGAGAGGAAAGGAAAGGAAAGGAAAGGAAAGGAAAGGAAAGGAAAGGAAAGGANNNNNNNNNNGAAAGGAAAGGAAAGGAAAGGAAAGGAAAGGAAAGGAAAGGAAAGGAGGAAGGAAGGGAGGAAGGUUUCAAAGAGGAAAGGAAAGGAAAGGAGGAAGGGAGGGAGGAAGGUUUCAAAGAGGAAAGGAAAGGAAAAGAAAGGAAAGGAAAGGAGGAAGGAAGGGAGGAAGGUUUCAAAGAGGAAAGGAAAGGAAAGGAGGAAGGGAGGAAGGUUUCAAAGAGGAAAGGAAAGGAAAGGAGGGAGGGAGGUUUCAAAGAGGAAAAGAAAGGAAAGGAAAGGAGGAAGGAAGGGAAGGAAAGGAAAGAAGGGAGGAAGGGAGGAAGGUUUCAAAGAGGAAAGGAAAGGAGGGAGGAAGGGAGGAAGGUUUCAAAGAGGAAAAGAAAGAAAAGGAAGGAAAGGAAAGGAAAGGAGGAAGGAAGGGAGGAAGGUUUCAAAGAGGAAAGGAAAGGAAAGCAGGAAGGAAGGAAAGGAAAGGAAGGAAGGUUGCAGAGGUGGAGGAAUGGAAGGAAGGAAGGAAAAGGAAAGGAAAGGAAGGAACAAAGGCAGUAGAAAGGAAGGAAGGAAGGGAAGGAGGAAGGGAAAGAGGGAGGGAGGGAGGUUGCAGAAAGGGGGAAAGGAAGAGGAAGGGAGCGAGGGAGGAAAGGAAAGGAGGAAGAAAAGGGUGGAAGGAAGGAAAGGAAAGGAGGAAGGAAGAUUGCAGGGAGGAGGAGGGAUGGAAGGAAGGAUGGGAAAGGAAAGGAAAGAACAAAGGCAGUAGAAAGAAAAGGAAGGAAAGGAGGAAGAAAAGGGUGGAAGGAAGGAAAGAAGAAAGGAAGGAAGGUUGCAGAAAGGAAGAAGAGGAAAGGAAGGAAAAAGAGUAGGGGGAAAGAAGGAACUUCUCCCUUGAGAUCAAACCCAGGUGAAGGGAAGGGAUCUGGUGGAGAGCGGCCAACGGAAGCUACCAGGGUCUUCUUUAGAUAAACCCUGGUUGGAUCCACUAUCUUUUCAUGUCAGCCAGUAGAAUAUCUGUGCUGUGGACAAAAUCUUUCUUGAGGACUUCUGACUUGUGAGGUCCUUGGUACUCUGUGUGGCUGGUGUCUUUCUUGCAGAUAUUUCAUUAUCUAACAA
rnacentral:lncRNA from 1 species